GCCUUUGUGGUGUAGUGGUCAGCACACUCGUUGCAUAUUCGAGAGGUUCGUGGUUCGAGUCCUCGUGAUGGAA
rnacentral:tRNA from 1 species